UAGCUGUACACUGUGGAGGUGUUUUCAGUGAUUGAUAGCAUUCUCUGUGUAAGUGUGUAUACAGAGAUAGUUAUAGCUGUCAGUCACUGAUAGUUGUACAUGGGGAGGUGUUAUCAGUGAUUGAUAGCGUUCUCUGUGUAAGUGUGUAUACAUAG